rnacentral:rRNA from 1 species
UUGCACGCUGGCGGCAUGCCUUACCCCUGCCAGUCGCACGGCAGCACGGGUGCUUGCACCUGGUGGCGAGUGGCGAACGGGUGAGUAAUACAUCGGAACGUACCUUAUCGUGGGGGAUAACGCAGCGAAAGUUGCGCUAAUACCGCAUACGCCCUGAGGGGGAAAGCGGGGGACCGUAAGGCCUCGCGCGAUUAGAGCGGCCGAUGUCUGAUUAGCUUGUUGGUGAGGUAAAAGCUCACCAAGGCGAUGAUCAGUAGCUGGUCUGAGAGGACGAUCAGCCACACUGGGACUGAGACACGGCCCAGACUCCUACGGGAGGCAGCAGUGGGGAAUUUUGGACAAUGGGGGCAACCCUGAUCCAGCAAUGCCGCGUGAGUGAAGAAGGCCUUCGGGUUGUAAAGCUCUUUUGUCAGGGAAGAAACAGCAGCUCUAACACAGUCUGCGAAUGACGGUACCUGAAGAAUAAGCACCGGCUAACUACGUG